rnacentral:rRNA from 1 species
AUUGAACGCUGGCGGCAGGCCUAACACAUGCAAGUCGAGCGGAUGGCGGGAGCUUGCUCCUUGAUUCAGCGGCGGACGGGUGAGUAAUGCCUAGGAAUCUGCCUGGUAGUGGGGGACAACGUUUCGAAAGGAACGCUAAUACCGCAUACGUCCUACGGGAGAAAGCAGGGGACCUUCGGGCCUUGCGCUAUCAGAUGAGCCUAGGUCGGAUUAGCUAGUUGGUGGGGUAAUGGCUCACCAAGGCGACGAUCCGUAACUGGUCUGAGAGGAUGAUCAGUCACACUGGAACUGAGACACGGUCCAGACUCCUACGGGAGGCAGCAGUGGGGAAUAUUGGACAAUGGGCGAAAGCCUGAUCCAGCCAUGCCGCGUGUGUGAAGAAGGUCUUCGGAUUGUAAAGCACUUUAAGUUGGGAGGAAGGGCAGUAAGUUAAUACCUUGCUGUUUUGACGUUACCGACAGAAUAAGCACCGGCUAACUCUGUGCCAGCCGCCGCUGUAACAC